rnacentral:misc_RNA from 1 species
UUAAUUUUGCAUUUGGUCUCCUCUUUGACGGUUCAACCUUGCACACUGAUAGCCCAAAAUCAGGUAUGCCACCACAUAGAUUUUUAUUUCCUGCCACAAAGGUAGCACUAGAAUUCUUGAAAACUCCUUGUACUGGUACCAUUCCCUCAAAAUCAUUAUAGGACAAAUCCAAAAGCUGUAUUUUGAAGCCCUCUAAAAACUCUGGAAUCAUGCCUGACAAAUUAUUAUGAGAAAUAUUUAACUCUCUAAUGCCUCUUAAUAAACCGAAAGAGGAAGGAAUGGACCCUUGGAACGAGUUGGCACCCAAGUAUAACAAUUCUAGACUUGUACAACUGCCAAGGCCACUGGGAAUCUCCCCUGACAACAUGUUGUCAGCAAGGUCAAGGAUCCCUAGAUUUUUCAAAUUUUCUACUUCUUUUGGAAGGGAACAAGAC